CCUACGGGGGGCAGCAGUGAGGAAUAUUGGUCAAUGGACGAGAGUCUGAACCAGCCAAGUAGCGUGAAGGAUGACUGCCCUAUGGGUUGUAAACUUCUUUUAUAUAGGAAUAAAAUGAGCCACGUGUGCGUUUUUGUAUGUACUAUAUGAAUAAGGAUCGGCUAACUCCGUGCCAGCAGCCGCGGUAAUACGGAGGAUCCGAGCGUUAUCCGGAUUUAUUGGGUUUAAAGGGAGCGUAGAUGGGUUGUUAAGUUAGUUGUGAAAGUUUGCGGCUCAACCGUAAAAUUGCAAUUGAUACUGGCAGUCUUGAGUACAGUUGAGGUAGGCGGAAUUCGUGGUGUAGCGGUGAAAUGCUUAGAUAUCACGAAGAACCCCGAUUGCGAAGGCAGCUUACUAAACUGUGACUGACAUUGAUGCUCGAAAGUGUGGGUAUCAAACAGGAUUAGAUACCCUUGUAGUC
rnacentral:rRNA from 1 species